GCGGGCGUAGCUCAGUUGGUAGAGCGCGAGCUUCCCAAGCUCGAUGUCGCGAGUUCGAGCCUCGUCGCCCGCUCCA
rnacentral:tRNA from 1 species